AUUGAACGCUGGCGGCAUGCCUUACACAUGCAAGUCGAACGGUAACAGGUCUUCGGAUGCUGACGAGUGGCGAACGGGUGAGUAAUGCAUCGGAACGUGCCCAGUUGUGGGGGAUAACUGCUCGAAAGAGCAGCUAAUACCGCAUACGACCUGAGGGUGAAAGCGGGGGAUCGCAAGACCUCGCGCAAUUGGAGCGGCCGAUGUCAGAUUAGGUAGUUGGUGGGGUAAAGGCCUACCAAGCCGACGAUCUGUAGUUGGUCUGAGAGGACGACCAGCCACACUGGGACUGAGACACGGCCCAGACGCCUACGGGAGGCAGCAGUGGGGAAUUUUGGACAAUGGGCGCAAGCCUGAUCCAGCAAUGCCGCGUGCAGGAAGAAGGCCUUCGGGUUGUAAACUGCUUUUGUCAGGGAAGAAAUCCUCUGGGUUAAUACCCCGGGGGGAUGACGGUACCUGAAGAAUAAGCACCGGCUAACUACGUGCCAGCAGCCGCAGUAA
rnacentral:rRNA from 1 species